rnacentral:lncRNA from 1 species
ACUUAUCUAAAACUUACUGAACGAGCGUACACAAACGUGGAGCGACACGAGGCAGAGUGAGAAAAGAAAAAUCAAGAAGAUGAAGGGUGAAAGAGAGCAGAAAUUUGGCAGCAAUGAAGAGAAAAACGGUAAGAGGGUGGAGGGAUUUUGGGGAAAGUAAAAAAAGAAAAAAGAAAAGAUGAACAGAAUAUUUGAUAACCACCCCAAUCCUUUAUUUCUCUC